rnacentral:rRNA from 1 species
GGGGAAUAUUGGACAAUGGGCGAAAGCCUGAUCCAGCCAUGCCGCGUGUGUGAAGAAGGUCUUCGGAUUGUAAAGCACUUUAAGUUGGGAGGAAGGGCAGUUACCUAAUACGUAAUUGUUUUGACGUUACCGACAGAAUAAGCACCGGCUAACUCUGUUCCAGCAGCCGCGGUAAUACAGAGGGUGCAAGCGUUAAUCGGAAUUACUGGGCGUAAAGCGCGCGUAGGUGGUUUGUUAAGCGAGAUGUGAAAGCCCCGGGCUCAACCUGGGAUGGUCAUUUCGAACUGGCAAGCUAGAGUCUCGUAGAGGGGGGUAGAAUUCCAGGUGUAGCGGUGAAAUGCGUAGAGAUCUGGAGGAAUACCGGUGGCGAAGGCGGCCCCCUGGACGAAGACUGACGCUCAGGCACGAAAGCGUGGGGAGCAAACA